ensembl:lncRNA
AGCGGGAUAAGGUGUGCAACACUGACACCUGCUGUCUCUCUGGCAGCAUUAUACUGGCAAUCUCCAGGCCUGAACUGGCGACAGGGCUGCCAGGACACUGGCUUUUGCCAUAAGGUUACCAAAUCUGUUCUUGCCCAGGGUCGGGAGAGGUGGUGUUUGCAGUGAUUUGGGGCAGGGCACAAUAAGGUAAGUGAUACAAAGCCUUCCAGCAAUAGGGCUGUAAUUCUCAUUUUAAGUGAAAGUCUUUUAUACAGAAUGGUGGUUUGUGUUUUUCAGCUAUGAAGGCUUGUUACUAAAUAAAUAAAUGUCUCUGUAGCCAUGCUUCAUACUUCUGUCCAACAGCUUGAACAGACCAGGAUGACUAAAUUCCCUUUUUGUUUCCUAGAAGAUUUAUAUUAACCUACUCACAAUCACAGUAUACAUGCACACAAAGAAAUCUGCAUGCAUUUGCCAAUGUAAGUACAAGAGUAAGCAUGCACAUAAAAACGUGUGAAUGGCUACCAUCUACAUGCACAUACUCAUAGGUGCCAGGCAAAGUUAUUAAUCCAGCUAUAUGGAAAAAGUAUCUGAUACAAACUCAGUAAAUCUCAGUGCUAAGUCUGAAUUUAGAACCGGUGCUCUGGGUUUAGUCAAAUCUCUUUCAGUUUGAACAUCUAAUAAAAAAUAUCUCCUAGAGGAAAGUGAGAAAGAGAUUGGAUACAUUAUAAUGUGUAACAGGAAAGUAGGAGGAUCCCACCUUGUCAUCUCUUGUCUCCACAGUUACAGCUGCUUGUCUCCAAUGAUGUGACAAAUCUACCAAUGCUUCUCCCUAGCCACAUACAGUGCACAGUGCCUGCCCCAAAGAACUUGUAAUGCAACCCAGACACACACAUCUGGACAAGUACCAAAAAGGAGUCAUAUGCCCUUAAACAAAAUGAGAGACAUACAGAAGUUACAUGAUAGAGCUUUGUAUGGGAACACAGACAAUAUGCAUGUCUGUAUGCAGCUUGGAGAACAGUAUGAAUGUAAUUUUCUCUGUAUGGCAUCCACAGGGGCCCUUGGACAUUUGGAUACAUAAAGAAGCUGUUUUUAUCUCCUUGGCCAAAAUGAUCAGUCCCUGGAAUAAGCAGGUAAAAAAGCAUGAUGUUCAGCGUGCUGUUAGUUUACCUUCACCACGUGAUAUUCAGUUUGCUUUUAAAAUGCUUACACUGUGGCUGCCCCUUUGGCUGCCUGUGCUGCUAGUGGUGAUGGG